rfam:Chaetura pelagica isolate M959 contig61639, whole genome shotgun sequence.
AUUGGUGUCUUACCAGGCAAAGUUAGAUCUGGCUAUGGGUGUCUAAUACUGUCUGGUAAUGCCGUCAAU